AGUUUCCCAAAGAUCUGACUGAGCUGAAAAUGGACCAUGCUCACCAAGACCACUGCUGCUGUGCUGUAAGAAGCCCAAGCCCAACCACUGAGUGAUUAACCAGCAUGUGGAGAGAGGCCUUAGACGAUGAGAUGUCAUCACUGAUGUUUUGCUCUCAGCAUCUGAAUGCAGCUGCAUGAGUGACCUCAACUACUACAACACUUAGCAGAAGAAUGGCCCUGCUGAACCUGGUUGGCCCAUAAAUACAUGAAAACUUUUUAAAAAUGCUAUUGUUUUAAGCUAGUAAGUUUUGAGAUGGUUUGUUACACAGUAAUACAUAACUAAAACAAAGAUAGACAAAUAAAUGUAGGAGUUCAAUUCACUGGCUAUAAAAUAGAUAAGUGAGAGAUCAUAGGUGGCUGUCUACUCUUAUAUGGAGGAAUCAGAAAAGGCUUCCAUGGAGAGAUGAUAUUCUACUUGAACUUUGAGAGAUGAAAAUGUUUCUGGACAGAUGAGGGAGAGUCUCUUCGAUGGAAUGAAUAUUCCAGAGGAUGACUUGGAGGCCAGGAAUAAUAUGACAUUCUCAAGUGAACUGAUAACCUAAUAUUGACAACGGUUUUAAUUUGAUGGCUUAGAGAGAAACUGUGUAAAAUCAGUAGGAAUAAUAACAGGAAUACCAUACUUGUCUUUCUUUUGUAUCAUUUUAUCAGGAGAGAAGACCUUGUAAUUGACACAUUUCACCUAUUUACGUUCUACAGUGCCAACAUUUUCUCAAGGACUAAUGAGACAAAAGGAACUGCGUUUGUUGAAAGGCAGCGUCUGAUCCUCAUUUACUAUUCUAACUAAAUGAUUAAUUCAUUCCAGAAACAAAAACAAAGACACAGUCAUAUUAUAAACAUGAAUUCCUCAAGAAACCCGUCUAUGGACCACCUAGGAGGCACUUGGGGACCACCGGUCAGGAUUGGUUUGAGCAAGAUUAUGAAAUGGUUGGAGUUUAUCUUGGUGUUCCCAGGCUCUCAUUUUUGUGUCUUUCAAUCUGCUUCAUGUCUCAGUAGCACUAGGCUCUCCACUUUUCUGUGAAAAUCUGCUUCUCAGAAAAGAUCAGAUGCACGUGUUCUUACUUAGAAGUAUGAUCCCCAGAAGUGGGCUAUUGUUUCCAAGAAGGAUAUCCAUUUUACUUCUGAGAAGACAAGGUUUUAAGCUACAGGAAUGAUUCUGCGAUGGCGUUUUUUUUUUUUGUUUGUUUGUUUGUUUGUUUGUUUGUUUUUAAGUAAUUUAGUGUGAAAGAAUUUGCAGACAGGGAAGGGGAGAAAACAUGUUGCCUUCUCACUUCCCCUCUAAUCACGUCCUGAAUUAAGAGACUGCUUAUCUUUUAGAGUGAAUCCAUUGGACGAGUCAUUAAAGGAAGUUUGCCAUGUUUAAGCCACACAGCCAAGUGUUGUGGGGGAUACAAUAGUUAUAAUAAAACUAAUCCCCACCCUCAAACAUCUCGCUGUCUAGUAGAAGAGAGAAGAAACAACAACUGAUAACAAUAAACUAAGGCAGAAUAAAUCAUAGAUAAAACAUAUACAAAAUACUAUAUGAGAGCCCCUCAAAAGAAAAUGAUUAUUUCUAGAUGAUGAAAGUUGUGAAAGUGGACUAGUGGUCAGAGGUGGGUGGGAAUAGGGAAGGGCAGGAGGAAAUGUGUGGCCAGUACUUUCAACCCUACCUAUGAUGCAUUGGAAAAUGGAGGCCCAUAAAGGUAAGUAACUUCCCAAGGUAAACUAGUUAGUGACUGGCAUGGCAGGAACUUAAGGAGAGUGAAGGAGUAUGGAGGGAUUUAGUGGAAAGUGGUGUAUGGAUCAGAUUUUAAUUCUGUGCUAAGGAAUUUAAUUUAAUAUUCUGGGAAUAAGGGGAGCUUUUGAAGGUCUUUUUUUUGUUUGUUUGUGGGGUGGAGUGUGUUGCUGGGUGAAAUAUGACAUGAUAGAUACAUAAGAUAAUUUACUUGAUAUUGCGAAGGAUGAAUUAGAAAGAAAAGAGUUUGCACGCAGGGAGACAUAUUACAAUGACUCAUCCACCCAUUUAUCUACCUUUCAACAAAAAUUUAGUCAGAAUCUACUGUUUCCCAGGCAUUACAAAAUGUUGUGGCAACAAUCUGGUGAAAGAGUGUGAGAUAAGAAAGUGAGUGAGCUAGAAAGUUCGCAGUAGUGAUUUAAUGUAGGGCUGGGACCGUCCUUUUUAUGUUUGCCCUUUGGUGUUUUUCUCAAAUGUAGGCAUGGUCCUUUCACCACUGUCCAAGUUACCUCUCUGUAAGCCACUGGCUACCUGGCUUUGUAUCAUCUUAUCGGGGAAAAGUGACCUCAUGGCCACUGGCUUGCUGUAAGAAGAAGGGGUGUGGGUGAUGGGGAGACUCUGGCCACCAGUAUUGGAUGGAAGUGGAGCAUCUUCCCUGAAGCCCAGAGAGAGCAGAGCCUUCGACAUGCCCUCUCCAUCUCACUCACUUUUCCCUCCCUGAUAAUACCUUGUGAUUUUCUCUGAAUGUCUUGUUCCCAGGACUUGCUGUCUCUGCAGAUUGAUAGGGACCUACCAUUUGGACUGAGGAUCAAAGAAAUAGUACAGAAUGAAUGUCUAAAUACAAAAAUUAACCUCAAAACAUCUAAAUCACACAGGCAAAUGAUGCCAGCCUUUCUUAGCUUUGGGGAAUGCUCUCUCUUCAUUAGCGCUACCUGAAAAUGCAGUCAAAGAUGGCGUUGAUCAAAAGGGCUAUCUCAGCUGCAGGGGCUACAGGUCACUAAGGAGAGUGAUGGAGGUGAGUAGUGUGUUCCGGGGUGUGAACUGAAGGGGAAAAUGGCAGGGUGAAGCAGCCAUCCAAAGAUCUUCAGGGCUAUUGCCAUAUUACCAGUUUGCAUCUAUUUCUUUCAAAUUUGUUGAUAUUCUUGGUUCUCUUUUACCGUAUGACUUCACUUUUCUACCCUUUCUUUAAAAUGAGUACCAUAUCCAAAGUUGUCUCCUUUUUGCAUAAUUAUUGAUUUUUGUUUAAUCAGAUUAAUGUCUUUUUUAAAAAAUAGACUAUUUUUUAGAGCAGUUUUUUUUUUUACAUUUACAAUAAAACUCUGUGGGAAGUAGAGAGAUUUCUCAUACAUCCCUUGCCACUACACACUCACAGCCUCACCUGCUAUUAACACCCUGAAUCACGUUGGUACAUUUGUUACAAUGGAUGAACCUACAUUAACACCUCAUUGUCACCCAAAGUCCGUAGUUUACAUUAGUGUUGGUGUUUUACAUUCUAAGGUUUUAAACAAAUAUUAAAUGACAUGUAUCCACCGUUGUAGUGUCAUGCGGCAUAUUUCACUGCCCUAAAUUUCCUCUGUGCUCUGCCUAUUUGUUCUUCUCUAUCUCCAGUUUCUGGCAGCCAGCGAUCUUUUUACUAUCUCCACAGUUUUGCCUUAUCCAGAAUGUCAUAGAACUGGAAUCAUACAAUAUGUAGCCUUUUUAGAUUUGCUUUCAUUACUGCUUCUUUUAAAGUACAAAGUGAUCUUCUGUGUUCUUUUGUCUCUAGUGGAACUAUCUUUACUUUGACAGUGUAAACUUAGGAGAGGAUUUUUUUCUGGGCUCAGCUUAACGAAAUAUAGGAAGCGAUGUCCUUCAUAUAAGCAUUUUGUUCCAUGGUGCCAUUGAAAUGGGUGCAAUUAUAUUAUCAUGCUCUAAAAUUAGACUUACCUUGUCAGUUAGGAAACAACAUCCUGAGUGGAAGAAUCUCUAUGUGCUUGGGAUCAGAAACUCAUCGGAACUGUCUCUCCCAUGGCGAGAAGACAUGGGUCUUGGGAUGAUGGAUUUACAGGGAUUUCCAAAUGUCUGUUAAUGCCCUUCACCCACUUUGCUGAGAUCAGUCAUCUGAACAAAUGGUUUGAAGAUUUUGUGUGAAGAUGCUAUAAAAAGAGUCAUUGGUUUCCCUUGUUCAUAGUAGUUAUUAUGUAUAUGGGUAGAGAGGAGGCUACAAUUUGAGAAUUAAUGUCAUUGAAAAUGAGGGCAAUAUUUGAGAGCCUUGAAUUCUCUGAAGAGUUCAAAUAAAGAUGUCUAUUUUGAAGAGUAUCUUUAUUUUCUUGUUGAAUAAAGAUCUUAAACUUUUUGUUUUUUCAAAGUACAUAUUUCUGUGGCUUUUCAUAUUUCCACAUGCUAUGCAAGUUAUUAAAACCCCAAAUUUUCUGUAUCUGAUUGCAACGGGGCUGCUAAAAAGGAAUGGAUAACAAUAAAAGCAAAAUGGAGAGUGCUUAGAGAGCAUAACAGAGUCAUCAUGGAAAACAGUGGUAAUUUUUAACCUUGCUUUUCCAAGCUAGAGUUUUUGAGAGGACAGCGAGUGCAUAGGCUGCUAUCAUCUUCUCUAAAACAGAAAUGUGAGUAGACAUUUGGCUGAAAACCACAUUUUUCAUUGUUAAUGGAAAUAACAUUUAAAAUGUAUAAGACGUAUAUGUAUAUAUUUAAUAAUCAUCUAUUGAGAGAUUUCUAUAUAUUAGAGACUGUAAUAGUUGAAGUGAUAAUUUUGGACAGUCAACCCUGAUCACAAUAUAUGGAUGUGUGUGUGCAAAGGAUCACACAAACUGUAGUACAAUGUGAUAACAUAUAAAUGCUAGACAAUUAUUAUAAACCAUGCACUACAGGGAAAAUGAAAAGAGAUGAAUUAAUUAUAUUAUGGAGGAAGAAGAGGAAGAAGGGAGGAAAAUGAAGAAGGCCUUACAAAGGAGGUGAGCACAUGAACUUUGAAUCAUGAGUAAGAUUUAAGAUUUUUUUUUUUUUUUUGAGAUGGAGUCUCACUCUGUUACCCAGGCUGGAGUGCAGUGGCAUGAUCUCGGCUCACUGCAACCUCGCCUCCUGGGUUCAAGCAAUUCUCCUGCCUCAGCCUCCUGAGUAGCUGGGAUUACAGGCAUGCGCCACCACACCUGGCUAAUUUUUAAUUAUUUUUUUAGUAGAUAUGGGGUUUCACUAUAUUGGCCAGGCUGCUCUUGAACUCCUGACCUCAAGUUAUCGGCCUGUCUUGGCCUCCCAAAGUGUUGAGAUUACAGGCAUGAGCCACUGCACCUGGCCAAGAUUUAAGAUUCUUAAGGAAAAUGACAAUAAAUGAAGGAGAUGGUUAAGAGAAGGAGGGGAGGAUAUGGAUGAUAAUAAGCCCAUUCACUCAACAAAUACAUAUUUAAUGCAUAACAUAUGCCAGGCACUGUUUUAGAAUGUUCUAGCAGUGUUUUGGCAUCAGUAUGUGUACAUCUCUCAAGAAACCUAGGGGAAGAUAAUGAAUGAGAUAAAUAAUGGUAAAUUCUAAGAAGGAAAAAUAAAGUAGAGGAGAAGAGUAUGAAGUCUUGAGAGAAAGUGAGGUGAGACUCUUGUAUGGGUAGACAAGAAAAUUCUCACCGAGAACCAACAUUUUGAAUGAAAAGCUGAAGGGAGUGAGGAAUGAGCCAUGUGACCCCUGGGAAGAGAACAUUCUAGACAGAAAGAUCAGCAAAUACAAAGGCCUCAAGGUAGAAACAUACCUGUGUGAGCCAAGGGGUUGCUUGAAGGGUGAGAGUGAGGGGAGGAGAUUUGCGGGGAGAAGAUUUGGAGUUGAAGUGAGACUUUGGCCUUUACUCUGAGGGAGAUGGGAAAACAUCAGGGUUUGAACACAGAUAUGACAUGAUCCAACAGUGUUUGCAAAGGGUCUUGACAGCUGUGUUGAGAACUUAUAUUUUUACAUCGCUUUGUAGUUUGUAAAGUGCUUUCACACAUAAUGCUACACAACUCCUCCUUCUCUUGAUGAAGGAACUUUUAAGCUCAGAGAAAUUAAAACAACUGUUCUGACAUCUUGUCACUAAUGAGUAGUUGCACCAGAAUAAACCACUUGCAGGAUCCAAGUUGGAGCUGUUCCCAUCAUCCCACUGCCCCCAAGACUAUAUGGAACACAUAGGGAUAAUCAAGAAUAAAGGGGACACUUCAAAAUUCCUAUUUUUUUUCUCUCCUUUCCUCCUGUCUUUCAGCCUAAACCACUGUAUCUUCAACCAAAAAUGGCAUGUCUUCAAGAUUGAAAGUGUGAGAAUUGUAGAUGAUGGUGGUCAUCAACACAUCAACACAUUAGCAUUUGUCAACACACAACUUACCAACACACAAGCAUUUAGAUGAAGAUUGUGGGUUUGUGUUUGUGGUCCUUCUUCAGGCUGGAAAUAGGUUAGGGACUGGAGCUGGUCAUGACUUUCAGUCUCAUAGAAAGUUCUUCUUUCUUUGAAGGGAGUGGUCAGCAAAAUCAAGGGUUGACCACACUCAGGUUUCUAGUGGUACAAAUCUAAUCACUAAGGUAAGGAUAAACUGGGGCGGAGAGGAGUGGGUUGUAGGGCUGUUUGUGUGUGUGUGUGUGUGUGUGUGUGUGUGUGUGUCUAAACUUUCUUCCCAUCAGCUUCCUUGCAGGCUGUGAUUGCAUUCAAAGGGUAAAGUGCUUGUAGGCAAUGGAUCAUGUUUCCCAAUUCUCUCUAUUCCUAGAUUCUAGAUAAAAAAUUUAUUUUAAACCCAAAGGAUUAUAAAUCAUGGUGCUAUAAAGACACAUGCACACGUAUGUUUAUUGCAGCACUAUUCGCAAUAGCAAAGACUUGGAACCAACCCAAAUGUCCAUCAGUGAUAGACUGGAUUUAGAAAAUGUGGCACAUAUACACCAUGGAAUACUAUGCAGCCAUAAAAAAGGAUGAGUUCAUGUCUUUGUAGGGUCAUGGAUGAAGCUGGGAACCAUAAUUCUCAGCAAACUAUCGCAAGGACAAAAAACCAAACACCGCUUGUUCUCACUCAUAGUUGGGAAUUGAACAAUGAGAACACAUGGACACAGGAAGGGGAACAUCACACUCCGGGGAUUGUUGUGGGGUGGGGGGAGGGGGGAAGGAUAGCAUUAGGAGAUAUACCUAAUGCUAAAUGACGAGUUAAUGAGUGCAGCACACCAACAUGGCACAUGUACACAUAUGUAACAAACCUGCACAUUGCGCACAUGUACCCUAUAACUUAAAGUAUAAUAAAAACUUUUUUUCAAUGUUUUAUGAAUUUUUACUUUUUUUUGAAGCCUUUGUGUUGAAAUUUCUGUCUAGAGAUAGCUAGAAUGGCCUCAUUUUAAACUUUUUAGCUGAAAUGUUGGAAGUACAAUGAAUGCACCUAAAUCUUGAUGAAUAUUUACAUAAAUAAAGCUGUGUAAGGCACUACUCAGACCAGGGUAUGCAACUUUUCCAGUACUAUAGAAGUUUCUCAUUUUCCCUUUCCCAAGGACCAGCCCUAUUUUAAAACAGAAACUUAGCUGUGAUUUUGACCAUAUCUUUGACCUUCCAUUUUGGCUUAUCUUUUGCAAAAAUUCACUCCCAGUUCAAAACAGAAUAUGCUGUGAUUAUUCAGUAAUUAUUAAUGUCUCUUAUAAAUAUCUCUUUUUGAUUAAAACAUUCAAGAAAACACUAAAUUACAUUUUAUUUGUCAUCUAUAUGUUUAAAUGACCAAAGAAAGAGGAGCUGGGGUAAAAUACCAUGAAAGUUUUAUUAAACACAAAAUAUAAUAAGUACUUGGAAACAAACUGCCAAACCCCAAUUGCCUACUGUCCUUCCAUUUAUCAUAGGUUCUAAGCCCACAAAAUUGAGGUACUUAAUGCAGCCUUCUGUUGGGGAAAAAAUAAUCCUCUUCAUCACUUUUUUUGUUGACUUGGUAUGCAGUAUGUAGCCACAAGUAAUGUGGGGAAAGCUACUUUCAGCAAUUUUCAUUUCAUUCAAACCAAAGAGAAAAUGACUGUGAUUCCCAGUUGGGAAGAAUAAUCAAUACCCAGUACCAACACAUUGGUGGUAAGUGUAGAUAUAGGUCACCAACCCACGAGCAUAUUUACUGUCUCCUUUUACUGAAAGUUUAAUAUUUAUGAUAAUUUUGUAAUGCUAUUUACUUCACACAUUACUCAGUUUCUCAGUAAAUUCAUUGUUGAAAUAUGGAACAUGUGUCUAACAUAAAAUGUGAGUCACACAGGUUGUUUUAGUGAGACCUCUGGCAGUUGCUUUCCAAUUAAGAAGCAUGUCAUGUUUGCUUCUGUCUUGCAUCUCCAUUCUCAGGGAAAGCACAGCAGACAUGAGUGGAAAAGCAGGUUUUAUUCUUAAUCCCCAGGAUGGACUCUUGGUGGACCUACUUGAGUCCCAUGCCUAAUUCUCAACCAUUCACAUGACCAAGGGAAUGAGAUAGAGCAACAGGUUACAUUGGGAAAUGUGCCCAUCCCUAGAUACAGAGGGUUACAGGAGGGCACUUAUUCUACAGAACCAAUUUGGACAGUGAUGCAGAGUAUGGAGGUUCCCACGGGAAAGUCUGCUGCUUCCAGAAACAGGGGAAGUGGAGGCUCAGCAUCAGAGUGGGGAGUGGAGAGUGGUGUGGAUGGGGCGGGAGAGUCCCAAGGUCAAGGUUCGGAACAGGAAGGGUCAAUUAUAAGGCUGGUAUUUUAAGACUCAUCUGGUUCUUUGAGUGAAUUGUGGGAGGUCAGAGAAGAGAUUCUGUGUCCCCAAACCUCCAAAAAUAUGAGCAGACCUGGAAAGCUGUAUGGAUUUCCUGUGAUGUCAAUAAGCUGCCUAUUCCAGUGCCUUUUGCAAAGAAGGUUCUUCAAAAAUGUAUUUCAGUUUUCCAUUCCCUUUCCCUUAUAUCUGCUCAUUAGCACUCCUGCAAAAGUCCAACCUUUGAAUUUGAUUAGAGAUAUUGUCAAAAGGGAAUAGAUGGCUAUUCUUGGCCAAUAUUUAUUAAUUUAUUUUUUUCACACUCUUCCAAACCAUAAUGGAAAGUUAUCUUAUUGAGAAUUGACUGAGCUCUUCUAACUUAUUUAUAAAAAAAUAUGUUAAAGUUAAUUUCUGAAAGAGGGCAAUAGUAAGAAUGAUUGUUUUGUGCAACUUUUAAAAUACGUGGUUUCUGGGAAAGCUAAGAUGACCAAUUGUAAGCAGCUGUGGUCUGCAAUGCUCAUGGAAAUGAAUGAAAGGAGCAAGUGAAUUUAGCAUCUUCAACUUAGAUAUUUCGGUUCUUAUAUUGGGACUGACUAGGCAAACAGCUUGACCCAUGGAGGGUGAAGAGAAGCAGGGUGGGGCGACACCCACGAAAGAGCAGCAUGGAGCCAAGGGAACCCCCACCCCCAACCAAGGGAAUCGGCGAGUGAUAGUGCGACUCUGCCUGGGAAGCCAUGCUUCUUUCAUAGAUAUUUGGAAUCCAUGAAUUGGGAGAUCCUUUCAUGAGCCCACAACACUGGGUCUUGGGUCUGAUAUAUGGAGCUGUGUGUAGUCUCAGCAGAGUGGCUGCUCAGGAAUGCACAGAGACCCAGGAGGUUUGCAUACUCUGGCCCUGGGAUCCAUGGCAAUGAGGUAGAUCCAUCCAUGUAUGUCCCUAGGAAGGGGGCUGAGUCCAGGGAGCCAAGUGGCAUCAUUCUACAGCCCCAAUUUCCAAGCCUCAUGGGUUGAGACCCACUGGCUUGAAAUUCCAGCUGGCCAGCAGCAGCAGGCUGGAGUUUGCCUGAGUCAGAACUGAAUUCCCGGAGGAAGGGGGGGCCACCAUCCUUGUGGUUCAGUAGACUCAGUCGUUUCAGUCAGCUAGCUUUGAAGACUACAGGUGGACAAGUAAGGGUCCUCCAUAACACAACACAGCUGCCUUGCCAGAUCGUGGCCAGACUGCUUCUUUAAGCAGGACCACAAUCCAUUCCUCCUCACUGGGCAAGACCUCCCUGUCGGGGCUUAUUCUAAAGACAAAGCUCUCAUCUCUCCCUGGGAUGAAGCUCCUGGGGGGAGAGGCAGCCACCAUUUCUGUGGUUUGAUAAAAUCUAACAUCCCUUCAUGUCAAAAACUCUCAAUAAACUAGGUAUUAAAGACACAUACCUCAAAAUAAUAAAGAGCCUUAUCUGUUGUUUGGUAAACUCAGCCAUUCCAGCCUGCCAGAUUUGGAGAAUACAAAGGGUCCAGAUGAGGAAGGGUUUCACUCAAUGCAGUGUACCUGUUCUACCAAAGGACAGCCAGCCUGCUUCCUUGGGCCGAUCCCUGAUCCUGUUCCUCCUAACUGGGUGAUAUCUCCCAGCAGAGGUCUCCAGCCACCUCCUAGAGACACAUUUGGGCUGGCAACAGGUCAGUGACCCUCCCUGGGACUGAGCUUCCAGAAUAAGGAAUAGGCUGCCAUCUUUGCUGCUUCACAGCCUUCACUGGUGUUACUUCCAGGUAUAGGGAAAACCAAGGCAACUAGGGUCUGGUGUGGACCCCCAACAAACUGCAGCAGUCCUACAGUAGAGGGGUCUGACUAUUAAAAGAAAAACAAACAAACAAAAAUGACCCCACAAAACCCCCUUCAAAGGUCAGCAACCUCAAAGAUGGAAGGUAGAUAAGCCUAUAAAGAUGAGAAAGAAUCAAUUCAAAAAUGCUGAAAACUCUAAAAGCCAGAGGGUCUUUUCUCCUGAUGACCACAACACCUCUCCAGCAAGGGCACAGAACUUGGCUGAGGCUGAGAUGGCUGAAUUGACAUAAGUAGGCUUUAGAAAGUGGGUAAUAACAAACUUUGCUGAGCUAAAGGAGCAUGUUGUAACCCAAUGCAAAGAAGCUAAGGAUCAUGAUAAAACAAUACAGGAGCUGAUAGCCAGAAUAGCAAGUUUAGAAAAGAACAUAACUGACAUCAUGGAGGUGAAAAACACAACAGGAGAACUUCACAAUGCAAUCACAAGUAUCAAUAGCAGAAAAGAUCAAGCAGAGGAAAUAAUCUCAGAGUUUGAAGACUGUCUUGCUGAAAUAAGACACACAGACAAGAACAGAGAAAAAAAAAUGAAUAGGAAUGAACAAAGCCCCUGAGAAAUAUGGGAUUAUGUAAAGAGAUUGAACCUAUGACUGAUUGGGGUACCUGAAAGAGAUGGGAAGAAUGGAGCCAAGUUGGAAAACAUACUUCAUAAUAUCAUCCAGGAGAACUUCACCAACCUAGCAAGACAGGCCAACAUUCAGAUUCAGGAAAUGCAGAGAACCUCAGUAAGAUACUCCAUGAGAAGAUCAACCCCAGGACACAUAAUCAUAAGAUUCUCCAAGUUUGAAAGAGCAAAUGUUAAGGGAAGCCCAAAAGGCCAGAUUUCCUACAAAGGGAAGCCCAUCAAACUAACAGUGAACCUCUCAGUGGAAAUCCUAAAAUCCAGAAGAGAUUAGGGGUUAAUAUUCGACAUUCUUAAAGAAAAGAAUUUCUGACCAAGAAUUUCAUAUCUGGCCAAACUAAGCUUCAUAAGUGAAGGAGAAAUAAGAUCUUUUUCAGACAAGCAAAUACUGAGAAAAUUCUUCACCACCAGUCCUGCCUUGAAAGAGCUCCUAAAGGAAGCACUAAAUAUGGAAAGGAAAAACCAUUACCAGCCACUAUAAAAACACAUGGAACUACAGAGCAGUGACAAUAUGAAGCAACCACAUAAACAAGUCUGCAAAGUAACCAGCUAGCAUCAUGAUGACAGGAUCAAAUUCACACAUAACAAUACUAACCUUAAAUGUAAAUGGGCUAAGUGCCCCAAUUAAAAGACACAGAAUGGCAGGCUGGACAGAGUCAAGACCCAUCAGUACGCUGUCUUCAGGGGACCCAUCUCAUGUGCAAAGACAGAUAUAGGCUCAAUAUAAAGGGAUGGAGGAGAAUUUACCAAACAAAUGGAAGCAGAAAAAAGCAGGGAUUGCAAUCCUAAUUUCUGACAAAACAGACUUUAAACCAACAAAGAUAAAAAAAGACAAAGAAGAACAUUACAUAAUUGUAAAGGGUUCAAUUCAACAAGAAGAGCUAACUAUCCUAAAUGUAGAUGCACCCAAUACAUGAGCAUCCCGAUUCAUAAAGCAAGUUUUUAGAGACCUACAAAGAGAUGUAGACUCCCACACAAUAAUAGUGGGAGACUUUAACACCCCACUGUCAAUAUUAGAUCAUCAAGACAGAAAAUUAACAAAGAUAUUGAGGACCUGAACUCAGCUCUGGAUCAAGUGGACCUCAGAGAUAUCUACAGAACUCUUCACCCAAUAACAACAGAAUAUUCAUUAUUCUCAUUGCCACAUGGCACUUACUCUAAAAUUGAUCACAUAAUUGGAAGUGAAACACUCCUCAGGAAAUGCAAAAGAACAGAAAUCAUAACAAACAGUCUCUCAGACCACAGUGGAAUCAAAUAAGAACUCAAGAAUAAAAAAUUCAUUCAAAACCACAUAACUACAUGGAAAUUGAACAACCUUCUCCUGAAUGACUCUUGGGUAAAUAAUGAAAUUAAUUCAGAAAUCAAGUUCUUUGAAACUAAUGAGAACAAAGAGACAACAUACCAGAAUCUCUGGGAUGCAGCUAAAGCAGUGUUAAGAGGGAAAUUUAUAGCACUAAAAUGCUCACAUCAAAGAACUAGAAAGAUUUCAAGUUAACAACCUAACAACUUAACUAAAAGAGCUAGAGAACCAAGAGCAAACAAACUCCAAAGCUAGCAGAAGGCAAAAAAUAACCAAGAUCACAGCUGAACUGAAGGAGAUACACUAGAAACCCUUCAAAAAAUCAAUGAAUCCAUGAACUUGUUUUUUGGAAAAGUUAAUAAAAUAGAUAGACUGCUAGAUAGACUAAUAAAGAAGAAAAGAGAGAAGAAUUAAAUAAAUACAAUAAAAAAUGAUAAGGGGGAUAUCACCACUGACUCCACAGAAAUACAGGCAACCAUGAGAGAACACCAAAAACACCUCUAUGGAUGUAAACUAGAACAUCUAGAAGAAACGGAUAAAUUCCUGGGCACAUACACCCUCACAAGACUGAACCAGGAAGAAACUGAAUCCCUGAAUAGACCAAUAAUAAGUUCUGAAAUUGAGGCAGUAAUAAAUAGCCUACCAACCAAAAAAAAAAAAAAAAAAAAAGCCCAGAACUAGAUGGAUUCAUAGCAGAAUUCCACUAGAGAUACAGAGAAGAGUGGGUACUAUUUCUGCUAAAACUAUUCCAAACAAUUUAAAAGGAGAGACUCCUCCUUAACUCAUUCUAUGAGGCCAGCAUCAUCCUGAUACCAAAACCUGGCAGAGAUACAACAAAAAAAGACAACUUCAGGCCAAUAUCUUUGAUGAACAUUGAUGCAAAAAUCCUCAAUAAAAUAAUAGCAAACCAAAUCCAACAGCACAUCAAAAAUCUUAUCCACCACGAUCAAGUUGGCUUCAUUCCCAGGAUGCAAGGUUGGUUCAACGUACACAAGUCAAUAAAUGUGAUUCAUCACACAAACAGAACUAAAGACAAAAGCCACACGAUUAUCUCCAUUUAUGCAGAAAAGUCCUUUGAUAAAAUCUAACAUCCCUUCAUGUUAAAAACUGUCAAUAAACUAGGUAUUAAAGGCUCAUACCUCAAAACAAUAAAGAGCCAUAUAUGACAAACCCACAGCCAAGAUCAUACCGAAUGGGCAAAAGCUGAAAACAUUCCCCUUGAAAACUGCCACAAGACAAGAAUGCCCCCGUCACCACUCCUAUUCAGCAUAGUAUUGGAAGUUCUGGCCAGAGCAAUCAGGCAAGAGAAAGAAAUAAAUUGUGUUCAAAUAGAAAGAAAGGAAGUCAAAUUAUCUUUGUUUGCAGGUGACAUGAUCCUAUAUCUAGAAUCCCAUUGUCUCAGCCCAAAAGCUUCUUAAGCUGGUAAGCAACUUUAGCAAAGUCUCAGGAUACAAAAUCAAUGUGCAAAAAUUGCUAGCAUUCCAAUACACCAAUAACAGGCAAACAGAGAGCCAAAUCAUGAAUGAACUCCCAUUCACAAUGCUACGGAUAGAAUAAAAUAUCUAGGAAUACAGCUAACAAGGGAAGUGAAGGACCUUUUCAAGGAGAACUACAAAUCACUGCUCAAAGAAAUCAGAGAGGACCCAAACAAAUGGAAAAACAUUCCACACUCAUGGAUAGGAAGAAUUGAUACCGUGAAAAUGGCCAUACUGCCCAAAGUACUUUAUAGAUUCAAUGCUAUUUCCAUUAAACUAACAUUAACAUUCUUCACAGAAUUAGAAAAAGUUAUUUUAAAAUUCAUAUGGAACCAAAAAAGAGCCAAAAUAGCCAAGACAAUCCUAAGCAAAAAGAAUAAAGCUGGAGGCAUCAUGCUAACUGACUUCAAACUAUACUACAAGGCUAUAGUAAUCAAAACAGCAUGGUACUGGUACAAGAACAGACACAUAGACCAAUGGAACAGAAUAGAGCAGUCAGAAAUAAGACCACACACCUACAGUCAACUGAUUUUUUAUAACGUUGACAAAAACAAGCAAUGGGGAAAGGAUCCUCUAUUUAAUAAAUGUUGCUGUGUGAACUGGCUAGCCAUAUACAGAAAAUUGAAACUGAACCCCUUCCUUAUACCAUAUACAAAAAUUAACUCUAGAUGGAUUAAAGACUUAAAUCUAAAACCCAAAAUUAGAAGAAAAUCUAGGCAAUACCAUUCAGGACAUAGGCAUGGGCAAAGAUUUGAUGAGGAAAAUGCCAAAAGUAAUUGCAACAAAAGCAAAAAUUGACAAAUUGGAUCUAAUUAAACUAAAGAGCUUCUGCACAGCAAAAGAAACUAUCAUCAGACUGAACAGACAACUUACAUAAUGGGAGAAAAUUUCUGCAAUCUAUCCAUCUGACAAAGGUCUAAUAUCCAGAGUCUACAAGGAACUUAAAUAAAUUUAUAAAAAACAAAGCAAAACAAAACCACACACAACCCCAUUAAAAAGUGGGCAAAGGGCAUGGACAGACACUGCUCAAAAGAAGACAUUCACACCAACAAACAUAUGAAAAAAGCUCAACAUCACUGAUAAUUAGAGAAAUACAAAUCAAAACUACAAUGAGAUACCAUCUCAUACUUGUCAGAAUGGCUGUUACUAAAAAGUAAAAAAACAACAGAUGUUAGCAGGGUUGCGGAGAAAAAAGAAUGCUUUUGCACUGUUGGUAGGGGUGUAAGUUAGUUUAACCAUUGUGGAAGAUAGUGUGGUGAUUCCUCAAAGACCUAGAGGCAGAAAUACCAUUUGACCCAGCAAUCCCAUUACUGGAUAUAUACCCAAAGGAAUAUAAAUCAUUCUGUUAUAAAGAUACAUGCUUGUGUAAGUUCACUGAAGCACUGUUCACAAUAGCAAAGCAUGGAAUCAACCUAAAUGCCCAUCAGUGAUAGACUGGAUAAAGAAAAUGUGGUACAUAUAAACCAUGGAAAUUACUAUGUAGCCAUAAAAAGAAAUGAGGUCACGUCCUUUGUAGGGACAUGUAUAGAGUUGGAAGCCACUAUCCUCAGCAAACUAAUGCAGGAACAGAAAACCAAACACCUCAUGUUCUCACUUAUAAGUGGGAGCUGAAUGACGAGAACACAUGGACACAUGGGGGGAAGAACACACACUGAGGUCUGUUGGAGGUGAGUGUUGUGGGAGGGAGAGCAUCAGGAAGAAUAGCUAUUGGAUGCUGGGCUUAACAUCUAGGAGAUGGGAUGAUCUGCGCAGCAAACCAACGUGGCACAUGUCUACCCAUGUAACGAAACUGCACAUCUGGCACAUGUACCCCUGAACUUAAACUAACAGUUGAAAAAAAAUACUUGGUAUCUUACUUCGAAAUUUUAGAAUAUUUUAAAAGAGUUCUUAAAAAAGAUUUGAAUGUUCUGUUAAGUUCCACUGAAACAAAAGAAUUAUGUUUUCUAGAUCAGUUUCUAAAUCUACUGGAAAUAAUCAGAUCUAUUUUCACACAUUUGUAAGCAAAUAAACAAAUAAAAGCAGAAUGAUGAAAUAACCAGAUUUAUUAACCUAUGUAUGUUUGGCCCCCAUGGUCUGGAUUCUGUUCUUCUGCAGAACUGUUUUCUCCUUGAUCAUCUAGUGAUUUCUGGUGUAGUGGAUUUUUUUUUUUCUAACAGAUUUGGUUUUAAUGAACUCAGGAACAACGAGGAUUAUUUGGAUUAAAGCUUAUUUAUCUUCUUCUCUAAUUAUAUUUUUAGAAGGGGACAUGGGGUCACUAAAUGUGUCUUUCCUAAUACUACAUUAUCUCUCUCUUCCAGAAUAUCUCCUCAAUGUGACUUUUUUUUGGGUUGGAGGUGGUGGUGAGGAGGUGGGGCUUGGGAGAAGAGCUCUUACUAAGUGCUUACUUACUCCCUUAUUUUCAAUGUGUGGGCUACAUGCUUCCCUGUGCUGAUCCUGCCAAAUUCUGUGCAGAGCUCUUUGAUCUCUUCUUGCUGCCUUAUAUGGGUGUGGGAAGGAUGAAUUAAUUAACACUUAUAAAGAGCUUUGAAGAUGAAAGUGCUUUGUUAGUGCCACCACAUUUCUAGGCUUCUCCCUGUCUCUAGAUUUUACUAUGUCAUGGUCCUCCCUACCUUUCACCCCGGGGCAGACACUGUUUGAACUUGUAGGGAUAGUUCACUGGACUUCUAAAGAAAGAGGCCUAGGUUUUGCAAUGGAGAAUGAAAUAGUUCCAAUGGAAGCAUUCUCAUUUUCCUGGACUUGCCAAAACAUAGCCAGCCCAUUUUAGAUCAAACUUCUUACUUAACUUUAGAUAUUUUUUUUUUUUUUUGAGGUGGGGAGCAUUGCAGAUGUGUAAUGGAUUUACACUCCAAACCUUUGUAUAACCCAGAAUCCCUUUUCCACCAUGAGAAAAUGUUCAAGUCAGUCAUUUUCAGUAAAACCUACUCACUGUUCCCACCCUGGCUGAGCAGAACGCUGGCCUCAGUCAUUGUCUCCUGAGAUCAGCACCUCUUCUCACUGAGGUUCUAGCCAUACUUUUCUGUCUCACUGGAAUCUCACAUCUUUAUAAUAUCUCUGCUCACUUUUUCUUUAAACCACAUAGAGAAAAUUACUGUGUCAACAUUUUUCCAGUUUGAAUGCCUAUUCUUAUACCAACACACUACCCAGACAGUGGAUUGAUCACUGAUGGGCUCUGGAAUGUGGAUUUGGUUGACACAAAGAUAUGACCAUAGACUCCACCAAAGAUUGUCAUGUGAGCGUGGCUCCUCUAUGACAGAACCAUGAAGUCUAAUGCCUUUCCCACUCAUGCCUGUAAGCGCUGAGACCAGCCUCAAGGCAUUAGUGAUCUGUCACUGUCCUGAUCUGUCACUACUUUUUUGGAUUGACCUGAAAUAGCUUUUUGUAAGGGGAAGGAUGGAGAACCUUUGCGAAAAUUGCGAAGACAGGUAGAAUCCAAACCAAAUGAGGGCUAUAUUUCUUCAUUUUCAGAGACAGUGGUGAAGAUUUGUAAAUAGAUGGUGUGGCCAAAUAAAGUAUUGCUUUAGUACAUUCUACCUUUAUGAAAAUGACUCCUUAGUUUGGCAUUGCUAAGUGAGUGUUCAGAUUUGAGAUUUUGCCUGUUUUAUUUGUUCUAAAAUUUUGUUCAAAAAGAAACUACUUUUUUACAUCGUUACGUCAUCCCUUAUACUCCCUU
rnacentral:lncRNA from 1 species